CCUACGGGAGGCAGCAGUAGGGAAUCUUCCGCAAUGGGCGAAAGCCUGACGGAGCAACGCCGCGUGAGUGAAGAAGGAUUUCGGUUCGUAAAGCUCUGUUGUUAGGGAAGAAUGAUUAUGUAGUAACUAUACAUAGUAGAGACGGUACCUAACCAGAAAGCCACGGCUAACUACGUGCCAGCAGCCGCGGUAAUACGUAGGUGGCAAGCGUUGUCCGGAAUUAUUGGGCGUAAAGCGCGCGCAGGUGGUUUAAUAAGUCUGAUGUGAAAGCCCACGGCUCAACCGUGGAGGGUCAUUGGAAACUGUUAAACUUGAGUGCAGGAGAGAAAAGUGGAAUUCCUAGUGUAGCGGUGAAAUGCGUAGAGAUUAGGAGGAACACCAGUGGCGAAGGCGGCUUUUUGGCCUGUAACUGACACUGAGGCGCGAAAGCGUGGGGAGCAAACAGGAUUAGAUACCCGGGUAGUC
rnacentral:rRNA from 1 species